rnacentral:rRNA from 1 species
CCUACGGGAGGCUGCAGUGGGGAAUCUUGCACAAUGGGCGAAACCCUGAUGCAGCAACGCCGCGUGAGUGAUGAAGUUUUUCGGUAUGUAAAACUCUAUCAUCAGGGAAGAAAUAAAGUCCUUCGAACUUUGCACGGUACCUGACUAAGUAACCACGGCUAACUACGUGCCAGCAGCCGCGGAAAUACGUAGGUGGCAAGCGUUCUCCGGAUUUACUGGGUGUAAAGGGAGCGUAGGCGGCAGUGCAAGUUUGGAGUGAAAGCCCAUGGCUUAACCAUGGAACUGCUUUGGAAACUGGGAAGCUGGAGUGCAGGAGAGGUAAGCGGAAUUCCUAGUGUAGCGGUGAAAUGCGUAGAUAUUAGGAGGAACACCAGUGGCGAAGGCGGCUUACUGGACUGUAACUGACGUUGAGGCUCGAAAGCGUGGGGAGCAAACAGGAUUAGAUACCCUAGUAGUC